GAUCCUGGCUCAGGAUGAACGCUAGCUACAGGCUUAACACAUGCAAGUCGAGGGGCAGCAUGAAAGGAACUUCGGUUCUUUUUGAUGGCGACCGGCGCACGGGUGCGUAACGCGUAUCCAACCUACCCUUGUCCAUCGGAUAACCCGUCGAAAGGCGGCCUAACACGAUAUGCGGUUCUCAGCAGGCAUCUAACGAGAACGAAAUGUGAAGGAGAAGGAUGGGGAUGCGUCUGAUUAG
rnacentral:rRNA from 1 species